GGGGGUGACUUUGGAUUUGAUAGAAGGAAUCCGUAAUCCUCGAUAGCCAUUGCUCGAUGAUCGCAGAGCAUAAACUCGAUCAAACAAAAAAUGCUAACUCAGCAAAAUCUCUCCUUGCGAGAGCUGAACUUGUUAAAGCUUACGCUUAAGCUUUCAAGCCAGUAACUAACCUUGCUACUGACUCCUGCUAGGAGCAAGGCCGAUUUGAGCAGGAAACCCAAACCUUGCAUUGAUCAAAUUGAAGAAUAGCGUUUGUUGCUUUUCGUCUUCUCCCUCUCUCUGCAAGGCUAAAAAAUCAGGUUAAAAAGCUGACUAUAAUGGUAGAGUUCGAGCAUUAUGCCUUUUAGACCGGAGUUCAAUUCUCCGCACCUCCAA
rnacentral:tmRNA from 1 species